UUCAGGGUCUCGAGUCUUGUGUUCAUUUGGAGGAGCUUUCUGUCGAAAACAACUGUAUCAACAAAUUUGAAGGGUUAAGCAAGCAGUCCAAGUUAACAUGGCUAAGUCUGGCUGGAAAUCAACUCACUUCUCUCGACUCCGGAAUGUUGGAGAAACUUCCUCAAUUGAGAUAUUUAUCAGUGGAAAACAACGCCAUAUCUAACCUUCGUGGCUUACAGAAUUGUCACAGCCUCCAGGAGCUUUACAUAGGAAACAACAAACUGGCGAACAUACGGGAGGUUUUUAAUCUAAAG